CCUGCGGAAUAUUCAUGCGAUGUCAGCUAACACCAGGUCAUCGGGGAACCACUGCGUUAUCUUCGGCUGUACGAAUAAUUAUAGAAAGAGGAAGCUGUUGGCGGAACAAACGUGCGACGUGCAUCAACAGCCACGGCGUGUUUGUGGUUGCUUACUCGUCAAGUUUCACCAUUUUCCUGCUGACCCAGAGCAUCGGCGUUUGUGGAUUGCGAGCGUCAACAGGAAGGACUUCCUACCGUCCGACAGUUCGCGGGUAUGCUCGGUACAUUUCGUUUCUGGCGAACGUACCGACACGAACCCGACACCGAUGAGGAGCCUCGGCUAUGAGCGGAAGGUCAAAGUCGGGCGACGACGAAUAGUGAGAGGCGACUACGUGCCUAGGAAGAGACGAAGGCUUCCUGGAGAUGAAGUGGAGUCGGCACAGCCAGAGCCAUGCGCACCCAUUGAUUAUGUUCUAUCAACCUCAACAAUGUACCAUUUUUGACAUCUCUGCUGCGUCUGCAGGUGCAUUGAAG